UACGAAGGGUGCAAGCGUUACUCGGAAUUACUGGGUGUAAAGCGUGCGUAGGCGGUUUGUUAAGUCCGUUGUGAAAGCCCUGGGCUCAACCUGGGAAUUGCAGUGGAUACUGGCGAGCUAGAGUGCGGUAGAGGAUGGUGGAAUUCCCGGUGUAGCGGUGAAAUGCGUAGAGAUCGGGAGGAACACCCGUGGCGAAGGCGGCCAUCUGGACCAGCACUGACGCUGAGGCACGAAAGCGUGGGGAGCAAACAGG
rnacentral:rRNA from 1 species